rnacentral:lncRNA from 1 species
AAUUUCACAUCAUUGAACACUACAUUUCUGAACCUUCCAGACACUGACUACUGGAUAAUUAAUAAUGUCAAUAUAACCUAUUUUGUUUUCAAGGGAAAGGAGCUCAAAAGAAUACAUAGAGAUUUUGAAACAAGAAGUGUGAAACAAAUCCUUCUGCUCAGGCCCCCAUUUGUGCAACAUGAUAUGUAAAAUACAUGAUGUCAGUACAACCGUGUUUGCAACUGUCACCUGUUUCAAAGAAUUUUGUAAGAAUUAACUCUGAGGGAUUGUUCUUCUGUAUUCUUUGGAGACUCUCACACAAAUCAAUAAAAAGUGUGUUGAUAUUAAAGCUUGUAUUUCCUCCCUACUACAAUAUAUAAUUUCCCCCCAUCCUCAGCCUU